rnacentral:misc_RNA from 1 species
UACAGAAGCCUCGAGCGUUACCCGGAUUUACUGGGCGUAAAGGGUAUGUAGGCGGUUUUGUUAGUCGUGUGUUAAAUCGUGGGGCUCAACCUCACGCUCGCGCAGGAAACGGCAAAACUAGAAGGAGUGAGAGGUGUGCGGAACUCAAGGUGUAGGGGUGAAAUCCGUUGAUAUCUUGGGGAACACCAAAUGCGAAGGCAGCACACUGGCACUUUCUUGACGCUGAGAUACGAAAGCGUGGGUAGCGAAUGGG